UUCUUUCAUUGAAAAAAAAAAAACCAUUGUCUUUAUUUCUUUUUAUUUUCUCUAUUUCUUCCUUUGCCCUUCUCAAAUUUUCUUGGACGGUUCUGGCGCCGGAGAUCCCAAAGGUCUUUGAUUUCCGGUAGCAGAACACCGUACGCAGUGUUCACACUGGCUGCCAAGCUACAAGGGUUUCUACCCUAAUUCUGCAUCAUGAAAAUGAUAUGGCCUUUAAGCUCUGAAAUCUGAAAUGGACUUGGAUCAAAA